rnacentral:rRNA from 1 species
GACGAGGGAUCCUAGCGUUGUUCGGAAUCAUUGGGCGUAAAGCGGGUGUAGGUGGCUAUGUAAGUCGAGUGUGAAAGCCUGGGGCUCAACCCCAGAAGUGCAUUCGAUACUGCGUAGCUUGAGUGGUAGAGAGGUUAGUAGAAUUGUUGGUGUAGUGGUGAAAUACGUAGAUAUCAACAGGAAUACCGGAGGCGAAGGCGGCUAACUGGCUACACACUGACACUCAGACCCGAAAGUGCGGGGAUCAAACAGG